rnacentral:tRNA from 1 species
GUCAGCGUGGCCGAGUGGUUAUGGCGUGUGACUCAAGUUCUCAUAGGGCAACCUGCGUGGGUUCGAAUCCCACCGCUGACA